rnacentral:lncRNA from 1 species
GUCGCUUGCUUCAGGCAUACUCUUUCUUUAUUUUUUAGAGAAAAUAAGUCCUGCGUCAGAAAAUAAAAUAUCAGAAAAAAUAUAAAAACUAUUUGAUAGUUCAAUCUGUACAGUAAUUUUUGUCUCAUUUAUCUGCCAUCUAAUCAAUUGCAUUGUUAGCCUUUCUAAAAAUAUAUUAUUUUUAAAAAAAAUAAAGCGAAAAUUAUUGACGACCAAUCAUAUAUUAAUGAUUGAAAAAAUUUAAAAUUAGAUGAAU